AGUGAACGCUGGCGGCAGGCCUAAUACAUGCAAGUCGAACGGCAGCACGGCAGAGCUUGCUCUGUGGGUGGCGAGUGGCGGACGGGUGAGGAAUACAUGGGAAUCUGCCCAGUCGUGGGGGAUAACGUAGGGAAACUUACGCUAAUACCGCAUGCGCCCUUCGGGGGAAAGCCGGGGACCUUCGGGCCUGGCGCGAUUGGAUGAGCCCAUGUCGGAUUAGCUAGUUGGCGGGGUAAUGGCCCACCAAGGCGACGAUCCGUAGCUGGUCUGAGAGGAUGAUCAGCCACACUGGAACUGAGACACGGUCCAGACUCCUACGGGAGGCAGCAGUAGGGAAUAUUGGACAAUGGGGCGCAAGCCUGAUCCAGCCAUGCCGCGUGAGUGAAGAAGGCCCUCGGGUUGUAAAGCUCUUUUGUCCGGAAAGAAAGCGCCGGGUUAAUACCCUGGUGUCCUGACGGUACCGGAAGAAUAAGCACCGGCUAACUUCGUGCCAGCAGCCGAC
rnacentral:rRNA from 1 species